rnacentral:siRNA from 1 species
ACAAGAGUUGCCUGCGUCAGGUA